AGUCCCGUAACUCAGUUGGUUAGAGUGUAACGUUAACACCGUUAAAGUCGCGAGUUCAAGUCUCGCCGGGGCUA